UUUUAUUACAUAGUUUAUUAUUAUAAUAAUUAAAAUAAGUGGAAAUUAAUAUUAUUUUAGAAAUUAGGGAGUUAAUUAGGAUUUAAUAAAAAUUAAGGGAGAUUAAUGAAAAAGGGGGAGUUAUAGUUUUGGGAGUUAGGAAAAGAAAAGGUUAGAAGCAGUUUUACGUGAAACAAGUUUUGGGAGAGAAAAACCAAGCCAAGGGGAGAACAAGAGCAAGAGGGGAUCGAUUUUGCUGUAGCUUUGUUUGUGCAAUUGAAAUCCAGGUAAGGGUGAGACUAUCUCUCAAUAAUCAUAAUCUAUAAUUUCUGAAAAUUGACCUAAUUGCAUAGUUUUUGGAAGAUAAAUUGAGGGUUAGGGUUUGAUGAUGAUUCU
rnacentral:lncRNA from 1 species